rnacentral:rRNA from 1 species
GAUGAACGCUGACAGAAUGCUUAACACAUGCAAGUCAAGUGGCGGACGGGUGAGUAACGCGCAAAGAACUUGCCUCACAGCUAGGGACAACCUUUGGAAACGAAUGCUAAUACCUGAUACUGUGAGAGAGCUUUGCGUCCCAUUAGCUAGUGGGAGAGGUAACGGCUCACCAAGGCGAGGAUGGGUAGCCGGCCUGAGAGGGUGAUCGGCCACAAGGGGACGGGGAAACGGCCCUUACUCCUACGGGAGGAAGCAGUGGAGAAUGUUGGAGAAUGGGCCAGAGUCUGAUGCAGCAAUUGUGUGUGCACGAUGAAGUUUUCGGAAUGUAAAGGGCUUUCAGUUGGGAAGCGGUACCAGCAGAAGAAGUGACGGCUAAAUACGUGCCAGCAGCCGCGGUAAUUC